AAGCUAAAUGUUGAAGAGUGAGGAAAAGUAUUUGUUGAUAUGCUGUGUCAUUUCAAGGCUCCUAAUUUGCAUUUACUAUUAAGCUCUUGUAUGAUCCACAGCAGAAGCACUUAAUUAAACGUUAGUGAAUAGCUUUUCUUACCCAGAGCCAGGAAAACUCUUUCUUCCUGAAAUCAAAAGAGGAUUUCCUCAAACAUCAAAAUGAAUCAUUAAGUAACUUUGAACCAGAAUAAAAUAGUCCACCAUUAUGAAGCCUUUGAAAUACAGGUGUUUUCCUGUCCCCCAUCUUAAUAUAAUCUUUAUUUAAAGACAGUUUAAUUAAAAGUCUUAGAAAAAUCAGAGAUCUAAUAUAGACUAAAAUAAUAAGCUUCAGAUAAGUAGUUCCACGAAUAAACAGAGAUUGAAAACCAUGUGCAUUGCGAUUGGCAUCUAUAGCUGAGCUCAGACUGCCUAAAAAAAAGGGGGGGGGGCUCUUAAAUUAAAGCAACACAGAGCCCCCUCUCUAAUGUCCUCCAUGUUAUUGCAUCCACUAACAAGGGGAGAGUCAUUCCUCGCCAGUAGGUGGUGCUUUUGUAUAAAACAUUACUCAAAGAUAAAUUCGUUUCUGACUAAUUUUCUACCUCUGUACAUCUUAACCCUGUGUCGCAUCUCCCAAAAGGCCAGACCCAAGUUAUGCCACUGUUGUCUCUAAAAUACACUCGCCUUGUCUCGCUGUUCAGAAAGACACUUGCCCACACGUAGUUUUCUCUGUUAGAGAGCUGCAUAAUUGCAUACAUUAAUAGGUAGCCUUGCUUCCUUUUGUUUAAAACUGGUGUCUCUGUACAUAUAAUUAUUUUCCGUGAAUAUCCCACAAUUAAAGAGACAGCAGUACUUUCUUGACAGUACAAUUGGAUCAGAUUGACUAGACGUGCAUGUCAGUGCGAUCAGGAAGCAAUAGCAAAACAAAACAAACAAGCACGCAAAAAUCUUAGCACUGAUGACAGCCGACUGAGCACAGUUCACCCUGAUCAGUCACUCAACGCCAGUCCACACUUAAUGGCUUAAUGCUUUUCUCUUAGGUUAAGGGUUGUCCUAAGUCUCCCAGAGUGCACUCUCAUUCAGUGACGAUCAGAGACACAGUAAUGGCACACUCCAUCCUUCUUUGCCACACUCUUUCCUUCAGUAACAACAGAUUCACCUGUUACUGUUAGUUAUAAAUAAGAGAAGUAUUACCUUAAGCACCCAUUGUUACUGCUGCUUAUCCAUGUUAAGAUUAAAGGAAUUGCGAACUACAGACACAGCUGCAAAUGAUAGAGAAAAUCCAGCUAGGUAACAGCUUUAGUGAGACGAUUUUAAACCAGUUUUUAAAUUUUGUGCAAAUAAUAUUCAGUCUUUUCCCUCCUCCUCCCCCUCCCAAACUUUUCAUCAGUUAUAUAUAAUUAUACAGUGCUUGAUGUAUUCUGUUCAUUUGAGGUUCAAGCUGUUUGCUUUCCCUUAGUAGUACAUAUCUCCAUUUAUAUGGGCAUAUUGGUUGAAGGGAGAGAGGUUUUUUUUUUUAAAUAACACGUUUUUAAAAAUAAUCUCAAAUACAGGCAUUGGU
rnacentral:lncRNA from 1 species